AUAAACCUGCCCACCACCAAGAACCCGUACAUGACUUUAUUUUCAUUGUAUCAAAGUAAUGUGUCCACCGGUGUGAGCACCAGCAACUCACUUCUUCCUCAGACAUCUCUAAAGCUGGAAAGAUUUUGAGGGACAAUAUGGUUUCCUUCACCCCACCCCAAUAUUAUGAAUGAGACCAGCAGACCAACAGCAAACACCUAGAAGGAACAGCUGUUCUUCAUGGGUGACUGCUGUGAAACCAACAGGAUGAUCUCUUUUCUAUUUAAUCCUAAGAGUGGGCAUAAGGUAAAAUAUUGGGUAGGUCCUUUGGAGUUCUAGACUCAGUUUGAGAUUACAGAAGAUAUGCUCAACAUCCUCCUUUGACCUGGUCCCAGUUUCACCAUAUUUGAUAGAUGCUUUAUAGUCUCUGUCAGGGGUGGAGCCAAGAUGGCCACACAGGAACAGCGCCAGUCUACAGCUCCCAGCAUGAGCGAUGAAGAAGACGGAUGAUUUCUGCAUUUCCAACUGAGGUACCAGGUUCAUCUCACUGGGGAGUGCCAGACACUGGGUGCAGGACACUGGGUGCAGUGCACCAUGCAUGAGCCAAUGCAGGAUGAGGCAUCGCAUCACCCAGGAAGUGCAAGGUGUCAGGGAAUUCCCUUUGCUAGUCAAACAAAGGGGUGACAGAUGGCACAUGGAAAAUCGGGUCACUCCCACCAUAAUACUGCACUUUUCCAAUGGGUUUAACAAACAGCACACCAGGAGAUUAUAUCCUGCACCUGGCUCAGAGGGUCCUAUGCCCACAGAGCCUCACUCAUUGCUGGCACAGCAGUCUGAGAUCAAACUUCAAGGUGGCAGCGAGGCUGCGGAAGGGGUGCCUGCCAUUGCCGAGGCUUGAGUAGGUAAACAAAGCAGCCAGAAGCUCGAACUGGGUGAAGCCCAGCACAGCUCCAGGAGGCCUGCCUGCCUCUGUAGGCUCCACCUCUGGGGGCAGGGCACAAACAAACAAAAGGCAGCAGUAACCCCUGCAGACUUAAAUGUCCCUGUCUCACAGCUUUGAAGAGAGUAGUGGUUCUCCCAGCACGCAGCUUGAGAUCUGAGAACAGGCAGACUGACUCCUCAAGUGGAUCCCUGACCCCUGAGUAGCCAAACUAGGAGGCACCCCCCAGUAGGGGUGGACUGACACUUCACACAACCAGGUACUCCUCUGAGACAAAACUUCCAGAGGAAUGAUCAGGCAGCAGCAUUUGCAGUUCACCAAUAUCCACUGUUCUGCAGCCACCACUGCUGAUGCCCAGGCAAACAGGGUCUGGAGUGAACCUCCAGCAAAAUUCAACAGACCUGCAGCUGAGGGUCCUGAUUGUUAGAAGGAAAACUAACAAAGAGAAAGGACAUCCACACCAAAAACUCAUCUGUAUGUCACCAUCAUCAAACACGAAAUGUAGAUAAAACUACAAAGAUGGGGAAAAUCAGAGCAGAAAAACUGGAAACUAAAAAUCAGAGCACCUUGCUCCUCCAAAGGAAUGCAGCUCCUCACCAGUAACUGAACAAAGCUGGACAGGGAAUGACUUUGAUGAGUUGAGAGAAGAAGGCUUCAGAAGAUCAAACUACUCUGAGCUAAAGGAGGAAGUUUGAACCAAUGGCAAAGAAAUUAAAAACCUUGAAAAAAAUUAGAUGAAUGGCUAACUAGAAUAGCCAAUGCAGAGAAGCCCUUAAAGGACCUGAUGGAGCUGAAAAUGAUGGCACAAGAGCUAUGUGAUGAAUGCACAAGCCUCAGUAGCUGAUGCGAUCAACUGGAAGAAAAGGUAUCAGUGAUGGAAGACGAAAUGAAUGAAAUGAAGCAAGAAGAGAAGAUUAGAGAAAAAAGAAUAAAAAGAAAUGAACAAAGUCCACGAAGUAUGGGACUAUGUGAAAAGACGAAAUCUAUGUCUGAUUGGUGCAUCUGAAAGUGAUGGGGAGAAUGGAACCAAGUUGGAGAACACUCUGCAGCAUAUUAUCCAGGCGAAAUUCCCCAAUCCAGCAAGGCAGGCCAACAUUCAAAUUCAGGAAAUACAGAGAAUGCCACAAAGAUACUCCUUGAGAAGAGCAACUCCAAGACACAUAAUUGUCAGAUUCACCAAAGUUGAAAUGAAGGAGAAAAUGUUAAGGCAGCCAGAGAGAAAGGUCAGGUUACCAACAAAGGGAAGCCCAUCAGACUAACAGCUGAUCUCUUGGCAGAAACUCUACAAGCCAGAAGAGAGUGGGGGCCAAUAUUGAACCUUCUUAAAGAAAACAAUUUUCAAUCCAGAAUUUCAUAUCCAGCCAAAUUAAGCUUCAUAAGUGAAGGAGAAAUAAAAUCCUUUACAGACAAGCAAAUGCUGAGAGAUUUUGUCACCACCAGGCCUGCCCUAAAAGAGCUCCUGAAGGAAGCACUAAACAUGGAAAGGAAGAACCAGUACAAGCCACUGCAAAAACAUGCCAAAUUGUAAAGAACAUCAAGGCUAGGAAGAAACUGCAUCAACUAAUGAGGAAAAUAACCAGAAAAUAUCAUAAUGACAGGAUAUAAUUCACACAUAACAAUAUUAACCGUAAAUGUAAAUGGGCUAAAUGCUCCAAUUAAAAGACACAGACUGGCUAAUUGGAUAAAGAGUCAAGACCCAUCAGUGUGCUGUAUUCAGGAAACCCAUUUCACAUGCAGAGACACACAUACGCUCAAAAUAGAGGGAUGGAGGAAGAUCUACCAAGCAAAUGGAAAACUAAAAAAAAGCAGGUGUUGCAAUCCUAGUCUUGGAUAAAACAGAGUUUAAACCAACAAAGAUCAAAAGAGACAAAGAAGGCCAUUACAUAAUGGUAAAGGAAAGAAUUAAACAAGAAGAGCUAACUAUCUUAAAUAUACAUGCACCAAAUACAGGAGCACCCAGAUUCAUAAAGCAAGUCCUUAGUAACCUACAAAGAGACUUACCAUUUGACCCAGCCAUCCCAUUACUGGGUAUAUACACAAAAGAUUGUAGAUCAUGCUGCUAUAAAGACAUGCGCCCAUGUAUAUUUAUAGUGGCACUAUUCACAAUAGCAAAGACUUGGAACCAACCCAAAUGUCCAACAACAAUAGACUGGAUUAAGAAAAUGUGGCACAUAUACACCAUGGAAUACUACACAGCCAUAAAAAAUGAUGAGUUCAUGUCCUUUGUAGCGACAUGGAUGAAGCAGGAAACCAUCAUUCUCAGCAAACUAUCACAAGCACAAAAAACCAAACACCGCAUGUUCUCACUCAUAGGUGGGAACUGAACAACGAGAACACAUGGACACAGGAAGGGGAACAUCACACUCUGGGGUCUGUUGUGGAUGGGGGGAGGGGGAAGGGAUAGCAUUAGGAGAUAUACCUAACGGUAAAUGAUGAGCUGAUGGGUGCAGCACACCAACAUGGCCCAUGUAUACAUAUGUAACAAACCUGCACACUGUGCACAUGUACCCUAAAACUUACAGUAUAAUAAUAAUAAUAAACAAUAAUAAUGGGAGACUUUAACACCCCACUGUCAACAUUAGACAGAUCAAUGAGACAGAAAGUUAACAAGGAUAUCCAGGAAAUGAACUCAGCUCUGCACCACAUGGACCUAAUAGACAUCUACAGAACUCCCACCCCAAAUCAACAGAAUAUACAUUCUUUUCAGCACCACACCAAUCUAUUCCAAAAUUGACCACAUAGUUGGAAGUAAAGCACUCCUCAGCAAAUGUAAAAGAAUAGAAAUUGUAACAGUCUCUCAGACCACAGUGCAAUCAAACUAGAACUCAGAAUUAGAAACUCACUCAAAUCUGCUCAAAUACAUGGAAACUGAACAACCUGAUCCUGAAUGACUACUGGGUACAUAAUGAAAUGAAGACAAAAAUAAAGAUGUUCUUUGAAACCAACGAGAACAAAGACACAACAUACCAGAAUCUCUGGGACACAUUCAAAGGAGUGUGUAGAGGGAAAUUUAUAGCACUAAAUGCCCACAAGAGAAAGCAGGAAAGAUAUAAAACUGACACCCUAACAUCACAAUUAAAAGAACUAGGGAAGCAAGAGCAAACACAUUCAAAAGCUAGCAGAAGGCAAGAAAUAACUAAAAUCAGAGCAGAACUGAAGGAAAUAGAGACAUAAAAAACCCUUCAAAAAAUCAAUGAAUUCAGGAACUGGUUUUAUGAAAAGAUGAACAAAAUUGAUAGACUACUAGUAAGACUAAUGAAGCAGAAAAGAGAAGAAUCAAAUAGAAGCAAUAAAAAAUGAUAAAGAGGAUAUCACCACCAAUCCCACAGAAGUACAAACUACCAUCAGAGAAUACUACAAACACCUCUAUGCAAAUAAACUAGAAAAUCUAGAAGAAAUGGAUAAAUUCCUCGACACAAACACUCUCCCAAGACUAAACCAGGAAGAAGUUGAAUCUCUGAAUACACCAAUAACAGGCUCUGAAAUAGAGGCAAUCAUUAAUACCUUACCAAACAAAAAAAGUCCAGGACCAGAUGGAUUCACAGCCAAAUUCUACCAGAGGUACAAGGAGGAGCUGGUACCAUUCCUUCUGAAACUGUUCGAAUCAAUAGAAUAAGAGGGAAUCCUCCCUAACUCAUUUUAUGAGGCCAGCAUCAUCCUGAUACCAAAGCCUGGCAGAGACACAACAAAAAAGAGAAUUUGAGACCAAUAUACUUGAUGAACAUUGAUGCAAAAAUCCUCAAUAAAAUACUGCAAACCGAAUCCAGCAGCACAUCAAAAAGCUUAUCCAGCAUGAUCAUGCGGGCUUCAUCACUGGGAUGCAAGGCUGGUCCAAUAUACGCAAAUCAAUAAACGUAGUCCAGGAUAUAAACAGACCAAAGACAAAAACCACAUGAUUAUCUCAAUAGAUGCGGAAAAGGUCUUUGACAAUAUUCAACAACCUUCAUGCUAAAAACUCUCAAUAAAUUAGGUAUUGAUGUGAUGUAUCUCAAAAUAAUAAGAGCUAUCUAUGACAAACCCACAGCCAAAAUCAUACUGAAUGGACAAAAACUGGAAGCAUUCCCUUUGAAAACUGGCACAAGACAAGGAUGCCCUCUCUCACCAACACAGUGUUGGAUGUUCUGGCCACGGCAAUCAGGCAGGAGAAGGAAAUAAAUGGCAUUCAAUUAGGAAAAGAGGAAGUCAAAUUGUCCCUGUUUGCAGAUGACAUGAUUGUAUACCUAGAAAAGCCCAUCAUCUCAGCCCAAAAUCUCCUUUAGCUGAUAAGCAACUUCAGCAAAGUCUCAGGAUACAAAAUCAAUGUGCAAAAAUCACAAGCAUUCUUAUACACCAAUAACAGACAAACAGAGAGCCAAAUCAUGAAUGAAUUCCCAUUCACAAUUGCUUCAAAGAGAAUAAAAUACCUAGGAAUCCAACUUACAAGGGAUGUGAAGGAACUCUUCAAGGAGAACUACAAACCACUGCUCAAUGAAAUAAAAGAGGAUACAAACAAAUGGAAGAACAUUCCAUGCUCAUGGGUAGGAAGAAUCAAUAUCGUGAAAAUGGCCAUACUGCCCAAGGUAAUUUAUAGAUUCAAUGCCAUCCCCAUCAAGCUACCAAUGACUUUCUUCACAGAGUUGGAAAAAACAACUUUAAAGUUCAUAUGGAACCAAAAAGGAACCUGCAUUGCUAAUUCAAUCUUAAGCCAAAAGAACAAAGCUGGAGGCAUCACACUACCUGACUUCAAACUAUACUACAAGGCUACAGUAACCAAAACAGCAUGGUACUGGUACCAAAACAGAGAUAUAGACCAAUGGAACAGAACAGAGCCAUCAGAAAUAAUGCCACAUUCUACAACUAUCUGAUCUUUGACAAACCUGACUAAAACAAGCAAUGGGGAAAGGAUUCCCUAUUUAAUAAAUGGUGCUGGGAAAACUGGCUAGCCAUAGGUAGAAAGCUGAAAAUGGAUCCCUUCCUUACACCUUAUACAAAAAUUAAUUCAAGAUGGAUUAAAGACUUACAUGUUAGACAUAAAACCAUACAAAUCCUAGAAGAAAACCUAGGCAAUACCAUUCAGAACAUAGGCAUGAGCAAGGACUUCAUAUCUAAAACAGCAAAAGCAAUGGCAACAAAAGCCAAAAUUGACAAAUGGGAUCUAAUUAAACUAUAGAGCUUCUGCACAGCAAAAGAAACCACCAUCAGAGUGAAUAGGCAACCUAAAGAAUGGGAGAAAAUUUUUGCAACCUACUCAUCUGACAAAGGGCUGCUAUCCAGAAUCUACAAAGAACUCAAACAAAUUUACAAGAAAGAAACAAACAACCCCAUCAAAAUGUAGGCAAAGGAUAGGAACAGACACUUCUCAAAA